ensembl:lncRNA
CUUGCUGUGACACCUGGAGACCAUUGAGGUGUAGAACAGCCUGGAAGGAGGAGGUUCCAGCUUCACAGUGUGGAUGCCGACCGCAAUUUAGGGAACACAGGCCCUUCUCUCUCCUGGAAAGACCAGGGUCAUCUGGCCAGAACUCCACCAGUGAACUCCAGUCUCCAAAGCAAGGCUCUUGGGGUCUUAUUCACUUCAUUAAUAUUUAAUCGAAGAAUCAUACUGAGCUAUUUCCAGACUCUGAGUGGAGGGAACAUGGUACUGCCUUCCCAGUGGAAUUCUGAUUAAUGCACCAUCUCUGUGGUCCCUGAGGAUCACCAACUUCCUCAUCCCCCAACUAUACAUAUUUAUUCUGUGGAGAGGGAGGCAGAAAGUUGGAGAAAGCAGAAGAUAUUAAGAAGAGAUGGCAAGAAUACACAGAUGAACUGUACAAAAAAGAUCUUCACCACCCAGAUAAUCACAAUGGUGUGAUCACUGACCUAGAGCCAGACAUCCUGGAAUGUGAAGUCAAGUGGGCCUUAGGAAGCAUCACUACGAACAAAGCUAGUGGAGGUGAUGGAAUUCUAGUUGAGCUCUUUCAAAUCCUGAAAGAUGAUGUUGUGGAAGUGCUGCACUCAAUAUGCCAGCAAAUUUGGAAAACUCAGCAGUGGCCACAGGACUGGAGAAGGUCAGUUUUCAUUCCAAUCCCAAAGAAAGGCAAUGCCAAAGAAUGCUCAAACUACUGCACAAUCAAACUCAUCUCACACGCUAGUAAAGUAAUGCUCAAAAUUCUCCAAGCCAGGCUUCAGCAAUAUGUGAACCGUGAACUUCCUGAUGUUCAAGCUGGUUUUAGAAAAGGCAGAGGAACCAGAGAUCAAAUUGCCAACAUCUGCUGGAUUGUGGAAAAAGCAAGAGAGUUCCAGAAAAACAUCUAUUUCUGCUUUAUUGACUAUGCCAAAGCCUUUGACUGUGUGGAUCACAAUAAUAUGCUUUUGAACUGUGGUGUUGGAGAAGACUCUUGAGAGUCCCUUGGACUGCAAGGAGAUCCAACCAGUCCAUUCUGAAGGAGAUCAGCCCUGGGAUUUCUUUGGAAGGAAUGAUGGUAAAGCUGAAACUCCAGUACUUUGGCCACCUCGUGCGAAGACUUGACUCAUUGGAAAAGACUCUGAUGCUGGGAGGGACUGGGGGCAAGAGGAGAAGGGGACGACAGAGGAUGAGAUGGCUGGAUGGCAUCACUGACUCGAUGGACGUGAGUCUCAGUGAACUCCAGGAGCUGGUGAUGGACAGGGAGGCCUGGAGUGCUGCGAUUCAUGGGGUCGCAAAGAGUCGGACACGACUGAGCGACUGAUAUAAUCUGAUCUGAUGUUUUCAUUCUUAUUUCUGGUGUUAUUUCUCUAUCAUCAGAAUUAUCAGAGGCUUAUGA